UACGGGGGGGGCAAGCGUUGUUCGGAAUUACUGGGCGUAAAGGGCUCGUAGGUGGCCAACUAAGUCAGACGUGAAAUCCCGAGGCUCAACCUCGGGUCUGCAGUCGAUACGGGCAAACUGGAGUGUUGCAGGGGAGACUGGAAUUCCUGGUGUAGCGGUGAAAUGCGCAGAUAUCAGGAGGAACACCGGUGGCGAAGGCGGGUCUCUGGGCAACAACUGACGCUGAGGAGCGAAAGCGUGGGGAGCAAACGGG
rnacentral:rRNA from 1 species